ensembl:rRNA 5S_rRNA 5S ribosomal RNA
GUCUGCCGCCACACCACCCUGAACACUCCUGACCUUCUGAUCUGGCCUGACCUUCUAAGCUAAGCAGGGUCAGGCCUGGUUAGUAGUUGGAGAGGAGAAUCCGGGUGCUGUGGGCU